rnacentral:rRNA from 1 species
UACGUAGGGUGCAAGCGUUGUCCGGAAUUAUUGGGCGUAAAGAGCGUGUAGGCGGCCCGAUUAGUCCGUUGUGAAAGUCCAGGGCUCAACCCUGGAAUGCCGGUGGAUACUGUCGGGCUAGAGUCCGGAAGGGGCGAGUGGAAUUCCUGGUGUAGCGGUGAAAUGCGCAGAUAUCAGGAGGAACACCAGUGGCGAAGGCGGCACUCUGGGCCGGUACUGACGCUGAGGAGCGAAAGCGUGGGGAGCGAACAGG